AACACAGCAAGGUGCAGCCAGACACUGUGAUUGCAAUGCAGAGAAACUUUGUGUGGAGGCAAAAGAAAAUCGCAGAAGGAAUGAGUGUUGAGGACACUGUGAAGAAAUAUGUUUUCUUAAAGACACCCAGGGCUGUUGGAGAAGAGGGGUCGGAUCCACUCCACAGCGGCCGUUAGCUUCACUGAUAGCUUUAACCAGAUUGUUCCCAAAGUGUUUGCCCUGGCUCAAGGAAAAUCUCGACUAGCCAAACAGUACUUAGACGCCGGAGAAGAAGCGCUCACUGAGGAUUUACCAGGGUGAACCCAACACACCAUACCCAAUUUUCCAGGUGACCCAGGAAGAAUGGAAGUCUACAUUUUGGGGACAAAGCUCUUGUUCCCUGAAGGUAGACCGUGUCGAGGUGUGUGAAGGCAUGAAGGUAGAGGAAGCAACAAUCUCAUCGUUUUAUUCAUAUUUUGUUUUCAAUUUUGAAUACCAACCCAAAGACAAGAACGCUUUGACCCUCCUCCAGCAAUGUAUUAGGAAAAUGAAUGUGAAGGGGAACUGUAACCAGAAUGAUGAACUUCAUCUUCUAAAUGCCUCAUUUACACCCUUGUGUUCACCAGAGCCCUAAGUGCCAAAGAAAAACAUUUAUUCUCGUGAAGUUGGUCCAACAUGUGGGACUUACUCAUGCCCAUGAGGCAGGCUGCUCGAUCACAUGUGGACUCAAUGCACUUUUUCCAGUUACCCAUCUUUCAGAUGUCAUGUUUAUAGAAAACAUAGAGCUUGCAUUUUACCUACUGGUGGUCCUAGUGAAAACCCUGCUUCUGAAGAUGAACA